UACGGAGGGGGCUAGCGUUGUUCGGAUUCAUUGGGCGUAAAGGGUGCGUAGGUGGCGCGCUAAGUCAGGUGUGAAAUUUCGGAGCUUAACUCCGAAACUGCAUUUGAUACUGGCGUGCUUGAGGACUGGAGAGGAGACUGGAAUUCAUGGUGUAGCAGUGAAAUGCGUAGAGAUCAUGAGGAAGACCAGUGGCGAAGGCGGGUCUCUGGACAGUUCCUGACACUGAGGCACGAAGGCCAGGGGAGCAAACGGG
rnacentral:rRNA from 1 species